rnacentral:tRNA from 1 species
GGGGGGAUGGCAGAGCGGCUGAUUGCGACGGUCUUGAAAAUCGUAGUUCCUUCGGGGAUCGUGGGUUCGAAUCCUACUCCCCCCG